GGAAGGUGGUGGAGUUGCCAUCUCUGGAAGUAUUCAAGAGGCAUCUGGAAAUGGCACCUGGGGAUGUGGACCUAUGCUGUAAUCCAGGCAACACCUAAUCAAGGUCCAGACCAGCUCUGGCAUUUAAACAGCUCUUACUCCAUCUUAAAGUAAAUCAUUUGACCAAGCACACGUUUCUGGAUCUGCUCUGGCACAGAAAGCACGUGGGAAGAUGCUG
rnacentral:lncRNA from 12 species